UUUUUGGCACUUAAGGCCUGAAUCCAAAAAUAAAGCCCGCUCGUCAGUGUAAUUAUCAGUUUUGUUUUUUCUCCCUUGGAAUUUAUUCCGCAUAAAUCUCCCGCAAGUAUCUGGCUCAAUAAGGGGAAAGGCUUAUCAGGUGCAGUCACACUCUCCUCUGGCCAGCUCAUCCUUCCCAGUGCGUUGGGAAAUUCAUUAUAAAAUGCGGUUUGAAUUAUUUGUCAAAAUGUCUGGUCCCGGACGCCGUGACAUUGAUGUUGACAUUGACGGACAGACUGGGUCGAAUGUCCCCGACAGAACAAGCCCAACUCACUCGUUCGAUGUGACAAAAUAAAUGAAAUUGUUAAUGGCCACCGUCAGGUGACACAAAUAUGUGGAUGUUUAUAUUUUAUAAACAAAGCUUUAGGAGCCCCAAUUCUAGUUUGGGACUAAAACAGAAGAAAAGCUUCGCAUUAAGACAUUUGAAGACGCAUAUUUUGAAGUAUGACCAUACUCAAUGCAAGUCACUGCCUUCCGAGUCUCGAGAUAACUGUCAGUUUCAAUCGUGUCUGCAGAACUUGUCACUCAUUCAAUAGUUUUGAAAAUUACGAAUGUCACUUACAACCCAACAACAAGAGCCACUGCCUUGCACUUACGGCUCCCUCUUUCCUCAGGCACAUGUGUCUGUGAGUAAGCAUCCUUGCCAAGGAUGCGGACUGAGACAAUGUUGCUGGAGACGGAGAAGGAUACUGCCAAGAAGACAAAGUCGAGUCAGAAGGAUGACGCGGCAGCAGACGCUGUGAAUUAAAACAAGGCCAAGGAAUAAAAUAAUAAAAGAACACGAAGCAAAGCAAAAGAAAACGUGAACGCUCCCAUACCGUUCCAGCCUCUCGUAUUUGUGUGAGGAUGACCCAUAAUAGAGAAUGGUUUUGGGGCCACU